GUGUGCUGAUUUUCUAGGCUCCAGUUUGAAGUGAUUUCCAGGUCUUCUGCGUAUUCCUAAAUCAGAAAGAAAAAGAUGAGACUUUAUGCUUAUAACCGCUGUCGCUGAAAUCUACGUAGAUUGGUGUCUCUGGCUCAGAAUCAAGCAAUAUAUCUUUGAGGCAUUUGGUGGUUGAGUUCUUGGGUAUUUCUGCUACACCACUCCUUAAUUCGAGGUCCGUAGCAAUUUCAGUGUAAAGAAGCCUCGGGGAUACUACAAGAGCUUGAAGAAAAUGCAUCGCGACCUGCCACUCAUCUCCUUGGAGCUUUCUAACAAGGGAGAGGUAAAACCUUGAUGUUUUCUCUGCGGUCCAUUUUGCUUGAAUUGCUGCUUCUAUACUCUCUAUCCCCCAAUAAAGAUUCGACAAUAUUGAUUGCUCGGAGAAUUCAAGCGACGAAUGCACAGACUGAUUCAAGGUCUAGUUUAUCGUCGUCAUAUGAAAAGACAGGAGGAGGGGUAGCAACAGCAGACGAAGAAGAUGCAGCAGCCAUUGAAUUAUGUGACAUUUUGGCCUCAUGAAGAAGAAGAAUAAGAACAAGGAGCAAAUACUAUUUACUACAGAUAAGGAGAAGAAGUGGUGUUAGAGUGGCUUUUUCUGUAUUCUUUGCUCGUGAUUGUUGCCAACUUCUGAGGCUUUAGGGGCCCCUCUUUUUUUUCUUCUGAAAGAUAUGCUACAGACAAAGAUAUGGCCGUUGCUCCAUUAAAGGAGGGAAAGUUUUUACAGAAAUAAAGGACAGAUGUUUGAGGUUGUUAUUGUCUUUACAGAGUAAUAAUUAAGAAGGUAACUUUGUCCAUUUGCUAUCCUUAUUCCUAAUGUCCAUAGUUUGCUAUUUUAGCUUAGUUAGAGACUUGUAUAGUAAUGUAAUUAAGGGUACUUGUAUAGUAAUGUAAUUAAGGGUAAGUGUUAGCUGUAAGAACAAAUGAAAUGUACGUGAAUAAUUCACGGCAACUAGUUUGGAAAUUAAAUGAUUGCUAUCUA